GGAGUCUGGGCCGUAUCUCAGUCCCAAUGUGGCCGUUCAACCUCUCAGUCCGGCUACUGAUCGUCGACUUGGUGGGCCGUUACCCCGCCAACUAUCUAAUCAGACGCGAGGCCAUCUCAGAGCGAUAAAUCUUUGGCAACAAAACCAUGCGAUUCCGUUGCUUCAUGCGGUAUUAGCAGCCGUUUCCAGCUGUUGUCCCCCUCUCCAAGGCAGGUUCCUCACGCGUUACUCACCCGUCCGCCACUUUCCUCACCUUCCGUUGUCCGAAAACUCCUUCCGGUGAUUCUCGUUCGACUUGCAUGUGUUAAGCACGCCGCCAGCGUUCGUCCUCGAGCCAUGAUCAAACUACU
rnacentral:rRNA from 1 species